UGGGGAAUAUUGCACAAUGGGCGCAAGCCUGAUGCAGCCAUGCCGCGUGUAUGAAGAAGGCCUUCGGGUUGUAAAGUACUUUCAGUCGGGAGGAAGGUGUCAAGGUUAAUAACCUUGGCAAUUGACGUUACCGACAGAAGAAGCACCGGCUAACUCCGUGCCAGCAGCCGCGGUAAUACGGAGGGUGCAAGCGUUAAUCGGAAUUACUGGGCGUAAAGCGCACGCAGGCGGUUGAUUGAGUCAGAUGUGAAAUCCCCGGGCUUAACCCAGGAGUUGCAUCUGAUACUGGUCAGCUAGAGUCUUGUAGAGGGGGGUAGAAUUCCAUGUGUAGCGGUGAAAUGCGUAGAGAUGUGGAGGAAUACCGGUGGCGAAGGCGGCCCCCUGGACGAAGACUGACGCUCAGGUGCGAAAGCGUGGGGAGCAAACAGG
rnacentral:rRNA from 1 species